rnacentral:rRNA from 1 species
CCUACGGGUGGCAGCAGUGAGGAAUAUUGGUCAAUGGACGAGAGUCUGAACCAGCCAAGUAGCGUGAAGGAUGACUGCCCUAUGGGUUGUAAACUUCUUUUAUAUGGGAAUAAAAUGUUCCACGUGUGGGAUUUUGUAUGUACCAUAUGAAUAAGGCUCGGCUAACUCAGUGCCAGCAGCCGCGGUAAUACGGAGGAACCGAGCGUUAUCCGGCUUUAUUUGGUUUAAAGGGAGCGUAGUGGGAUUGUUAAGUCAGUUGUGAAAGUUUGCGGCUCAACCGUAAAAUUGAAGUUGAAACUGGCAGUCUUGAGUACAGUAGAGGUGGGCGGAAGUCGUGGUGUAGCGGUGAAAUGCUUAGAUAUCACGAAGAACUCCGAUUGCGAAGGCAGUUCACUGGACUGCAACUGACACUGAGGCUCGAAAGUGUGGGUAUCAAACAGGAUUAGAUACCCCGGUAGUC